GAUGAACGCUAGCUACAGGCUUAACACAUGCAAGUCGAGGGGAAACGACAUCGAAAGCUUGCUUUUGAUGGGUGUCGACCGGCGCACGGGUGAGUAACGCGUAUCCAACCUGCCCACCGCUUGGGGAUAACCUUGCGAAAGUAAGACUAAUACCCAAUGAUAUCCCACGAAGGCAUCCGAAUGGGAUUAAAGAUUUAUCGGUGAUGGAUGGGGAUGCGUCUGAUUAGCUUGUUGGCGGGGUAACGGCCCACCAAGGCGACGAUCAGUAGGGGUUCUGAGAGGAAGGUCCCCCCACAUUGGAACUGAGACACGGUCCAAAACUCCUACGGGAGGCAGCAGUGAGGAAUAUUGGUCAAUGGACGAGAGUCUGAACCAGCCAAGUAGCGUGCAGGACGACGGCCCUAUGGGUUGUAAACUGCUUUAUAAGGGAAUAAAGUGAGCCACGUGUGGUUUUUUGCAUGUACCCUAUGAAUAAGGACCGGCUAAUUCCGUG
rnacentral:rRNA from 1 species